rnacentral:lncRNA from 1 species
UAGGGAUGUAACCCUCAGAAUUGAGGCCUAUCAUAGAAUUGCAUCCAUUGAUAUAUAGUUAGGACCACAGGGCUUUCCUGUAUUCUGCUUCAUUUUCCAGUGACCAGGUAUGUGGGGACAAUUUCCUGGGGUUUAUAGUCAGGACACUUUGAACUAGGGAACUCUGGAGCAGCCUACUUUUCUGAUUGGUUGAAUGUGAAACCUGCCCAUCUGUUUUUUUCUGGGAUCCACAGAAUAGACAGCUGGUCAAGGGGAACAGGUGGGAUGGGAACAGGUGGGAUAGGAACAAGGCGAAGUUGUAGGGGCUCUAAGGAGGCUCAGUUUUCUCAUGUGAGCCUUCUGCUAUGAGCAAGAAGUUGUUUUCCUUCAGGCCCCUCUAUUUGUAGCCAGUGACUGUAGCAGGGAAAACAAGAGAGGAAGAAACGAGGAAAACCAGUCAACAGUUGAGUAGCCAUAUUCCCAGUUGUUUCCCAUGCUUUGGGUGGGAUGUCUGGUUCUCAUAACUAGAUAUGGGCUGUGUUUCCUGUCCACAUUCUGAACCCAUGUCACAGGGCUAGGUGAUUUCAGGUUGGACCUCCCGUUUUCUUAAGGGUGUGAGUCUCUCUGUGCAGUCGUUUC